rnacentral:rRNA from 1 species
GAGUUUGAUCCUGGCUCAGAACGAACGCUGGCGGCAUGCCUAACACAUGCAAGUCGAACGGUGGCUUCGGCCAUAGUGGCGCACGGGUGCGUAACGCGUGGGAAUCUGCCCUUGGGUUCGGAAUAACUCAGAGAAAUUUGAGCUAAUACCGGAUGAUGUCGAAAGACCAAAGAUUUAUCGCCCAGGGAUGAGCCCGCGUAGGAUUAGCUAGUUGGUGGGGUAAAGGCUCACCAAGGCGACGAUCCUUAGCUGGUCUGAGAGGAUGAUCAGCCACACUGGGACUGAGACACGGCCCAGACUCCUACGGGAGGCAGCAGUGGGGAAUAUUGGACAAUGGGCGAAAGCCUGAUCCAGCAAUGCCGCGUGAGUGAUGAAGGCCCUAGGGUUGUAAAGCUCUUUUACCCGGGAUGAUAAUGACAGUACCGGGAGAAUAAGCCCCGGCUAACUCCGUGCCAGCCGCCGCCGU